rnacentral:rRNA from 1 species
AGCGAACGCUGGCGGCAGGCUUAACACAUGCAAGUCGAGCGGGCACUUUCGGGUGUCAGCGGCGGACGGGUGAGUAACGCGUGGGAACGUGCCCUCUGGUUCGGAAUAACUCAGGGAAACUUGAGCUAAUACCGGAUACGCCCUUUUGGGGAAAGGCUUGCUGCCGGAGGAUCGGCCCGCGUCUGAUUAGCUAGUUGGUGAGGUAACGGCUCACCAAGGCGACGAUCAGUAGCUGGUCUGAGAGGAUGAUCAGCCACACUGGGACUGAGACACGGCCCAGACUCCUACGGGAGGCAGCAGUGGGGAAUAUUGGACAAUGGGCGCGAGCCUGGUCCAGCCAUGCCGCGUGAGUGAUGAAGGCCUUAGGGUUGUAAAGCUCUUUUAUCCGGGACGAUAAUGACGGUACCGGAGGAAUAAGCCCCGGCUAACUUCGUG